ACUCACUCCUUGUCAGCUGCACCUGGUCUCUCCCUCCCCCUCUUUCCUUACCCUGCUUUCCACUCUGUUCACCUUCCUGGCUCUCUCUCUCCUCUGGCCCUGGCAUCUCUCAAGCCUUUCUCCUUGCAUCCGUGUCUCCUUCCUGCCUCCCUUCCCCUCUAGCUCUUUCCCCCUCUCACCCCAGCCCCUUUCUGACCUGUGCCCAGGGGACGGACACAUAGACACUGCCUGCGCGUGGGCCUCCUCCCUUCUCCCUCCCGUCAGAGCUGCCAGCUCCACUCACCAGGUAUCCUGGCCGCAUUGAGGAUGGCUGAGGGCAAGAGAAGGAAACGGUUAGGCCGGUUCCCGUCCAGCCUGCCUUCCGGGGACCAGGACCGGCUCCUCGAGGGAGGCACAGACCUGAGCCCCUCGGCUCUGGACGCUGCUGCCGCUGGUGUGCCCUCCCCUGACCUCCUGCGGCAGGAACAACACAAAACGGUGCUUCCCCAGAGGCAAGCAGCGGAGGACGAGGAGAUGGGAGAACACGGAGGCGAGAGGGAGCAGGCGAUGGCGACGCCGACGGUAACUGGAGACCGAGGCGCGCUGCGUACUUGCUGCGUUUUCUGUUUCAUCCUCACAGCCGUAGAAGAAACCGAGGCACAGAGCAGUUAAGGAGCAAGAGAUAAACAGAGCAGAAGCGGAAAGGAGAUGAGAGAGGGCCCCAGGCCCCUGUGACUCAGCCCAGAGACCUGGCGCAACCCGGGCUUGGGAAUCCCGUUAACCCACUUCCCGAAAGCUGUGAAUCAGGUAAGGAAACUGAGGCAGCUUAGGGCGGUUAAGUGACUUGCCCGAGAUUGCUGGGUGAGUGGUGGAGCCGGACCUGCACCCCAACACUGGGGGUGGCUGCUGGGACUGCCCUCAUGGAGGCUUCGGGAGCCUGGAGGAGGUGCCUCACCCUGCCUGGGGUUUCCUCUCCAUUCCAGCUUUUCUGCCUUUCUGAAGAGCCAGCUCACUGCCCUGGAUACCCAAGGGUAGCCAUGGGCCCUGCCCAAGAUGCCGCUAUCCCUGAGACAGGGUGGCCAGGAAGAGAGCCCCGAGGAGAAGGACCUGGUAGGAGCAGGGGGAAGCCCUGAGGAGCUGGGUGAAGAUUUCCUGGCACAAGUCCUGGGGAAGGGCCCCAGACAGCAGUUCCUCAAUUCCCAGGGUAUAGAGGGUGGAGUCUCUGAAAGGCCACGGGGUGGAGACCCUGGCAUGAUUCAACAUUCACUCAACAAAAUAUUUAUUGAGCGCCUGCCAAUGCUAGACCCACAUGCUGGCCAGCAUCCCUGCCUGUGCAAGCUCUGGAUGAGCUGUGUGCCCCUGCCACCCACACCCCCACUCCCUGCCAGCCUGGCCUCAGGGCCUCUGAUCCAUGUGCACUGGAGUGGUGAUGACUGACAGGGCCACUGGGGCAUUUCCAUGUUAACAGCAGCUGCCACUGGCAAAAGAAGUGACUCGCCAAUGGUGGCAUCUCAGAUGUGGGCCCAGGAGUCUGGGGAGCUACUUUGAACAGGGCUAUCCAUUCAUUGUCCCACCAAAGGCUAUGGAGCCCACCCACCAUGUGCUGGAGUAGUCAAGGGAAAUAAGACACUCUCCUUGUCCUUGUUAACUCAAUCAACAAGCAUUUGCAGAGCACCGCCUGUAUGCCGGCGCUGUCCGAAGUGCUGAAGAUACAGCAAUGAGCAAACCAAAAGCCAUGGACAUCGGAUGAAACAGAGAAUUGUAAACAAUAAGUACAUCAUUUAGCUCUAUGGAAAACAGGAUAGAGAUUUCUCAAAGAACUAAAACUAGAACUACCAUUCAACCAGCAAUCCCACCACUGGGCAUCCACCCAAAGGAAAAGAAGUCAUUUAAUCAAAGAGACACCUGCACUCGUGUGUUCAUCGCAGCAACACUGUUCACAACAGCAAAGCCAUGAAAUCAACCUAAGUGUCCAUCAACAGAUGAUGGAUAAAGAAAAUGUGGUGAAUAUAUACACAGUGGGAUACUACGAAGCCAUAAAAAAGAACACAAAACCAUGUCUUUUGCAGCAAUGUGGAUGGAACUGGAGGCCAUUAUCUUAAGCGGAACAAGUCAAACACAGAAAGACAAAGAUUGCAUGUUCUUAUUUAUUUAUUUACUGAGAUGGAGUCUCACUGUGUCACCAGGC
rnacentral:lncRNA from 1 species